rnacentral:rRNA from 1 species
CCGGAGAUAGCUGGUUCUCCCCGAAAUAGCUUUAGGGCUAGCCUCAAGGUGAGAGAUACGGAGGUAGAGCACUGAAUGUCCUAGGUGGUAUUGCACCUACCGAAGACUAUCAAACUCCGAAUGCCGUCAUCUUAUACUUGGGAGUCAGACUGUGGGUGAUAAGAUUCAUAGUCGAAAGGGCAACAGCCCAGAUCGUCAGCUAAGGUCCCUAAAUGUAAGUUAAGUGGUAAAGGAUGUGGGAUUGCACAGACAACCAGGAUGUUGGCUUAG